rnacentral:rRNA from 1 species
GUUACCAGCACGUAUUGGUGGGCACUCUAAGGAGACUGCCGGUGGACAAACCGGAGGAAGGUGGGGAGUGACGUCAAGUCAUCAUGGCCCUUACGGCCUGGGCUACACACGUGCUACAAUGGCCGGUACAAAGGGCAGCUACCUGGUGACAGGAUGCUAAUCUCAAAAGCCGGUCUCAGUUCGGAUCGGAGUCUGCAACCCGACUCUGUGAAGCUGGAAUCGCUAGUAAUCGCGCAUCAGCCGUGGCGCGGUGAAUACGUUCCCGGGCCUU